ACUCCUACGGGAGGCAGCAGUGGGGAAUAUUGCACAAUGGGCGAAAGCCUGAUGCAGCAACGCCGCGUGAGGGACGAAGGCCUUCGGGUUGUAAACCUCUUUUAGCAGGGAAGAAGCGAAAGUGACGGUACCUGCAGAAGAAGCACCGGCUAACUACGUGCCAGCAGCCGCGGUAAUACA
rnacentral:rRNA from 1 species